CUUGCUGUUUCGCUGACGAGUGGCGGACGGGUGAGUAAUGUCUGGGAAACUGCCUGAUGGAGGGGGAUAACUACUGGAAACGGUAGCUAAUACCGCAUAACGUCGCAAGACCAAAGAGGGGGACCUUCGGGCCUCUUGCCAUCAGAUGUGCCCAGAUGGGAUUAGCUAGUAGGUGGGGUAACGGCUCACCUAGGCGACGAUCCCUAGCUGGUCUGAGAGGAUGACCAGCCACACUGGAACUGAGACACGGUCCAGACUCCUACGGGAGGCAGCAGUGGGGAAUAUUGCACAAUGGGCGCAAGCCCGAUGCAGCCAUGCCGCGUGUAUGAAGAAGGCCUUCGGGUUGUAAAGUACUUUCAGCGGGGAGGAAGGGAGUAAAGUUAAUACCUUUGCUCAUUGACGUUACCCGCAGAAGAAGCACCGGCUAACUCCGUGCCAGCAGCCGCGGUAAUACGGAGGGUGCAAGCGUUAAUCGGAAUUACUGGGCGUAAAGCGCACGCAGGCGGUUUGUUAAGUCAGAUGUGAAAUCCCCGGGCUCAACCUGGGAACUGCAUCUGAUACUGGCAAGCUUGAGUCUCGUAGAGGGGGGUAGAAUUCCAGGUGUAGCGGUGAAAUGCGUAGAGAUCUGGAGGAAUACCGGUGGCGAAGGCGGCCCCCUGGACGAAGACUGACGCUCAGGUGCGAAAGCGUGGGGAGCAAACAGGAUUAGAUACCCUGGUAGUCCACGCCGUAAACGAUGUCGACUUGGAGGUUGUGCCCUUGAGGCGUGGCUUCCGGAGCUAACGCGUUAAGUCGACCGCCUGGGGAGUACGGCCGCAAGGUUAAAACUCAAAUGAAUUGACGGGGGCCCGCACAAGCGGUGGAGCAUGUGGUUUAAUUCGAUGCAACGCGAAGAACCUUACCUGGUCUUGACAUCCACGGAAGUUUUCAGAGAUGAGAAUGUGCCUUCGGGAACCGUGAGACAGGUGCUGCAUGGCUGUCGUCAGCUCGUGUUGUGAAAUGUUGGGUUAAGUCCCGCAACGAGCGCAACCCUUAUCCUUUGUUGCCAGCGGUCCGGCCGGGAACUCAAAGGAGACUGCCAGUGAUAAACUGGAGGAAGGUGGGGAUGACGUCAAGUCAUCAUGCCCUUACGACCAGGGCUACACACGGGCUACAAUGGCGCAUACAAAGAGAAGCGACCUCGCGAGAGCAAGCGGACCUCAUAAAGUGCGUCGUAGUCCGGAUUGGAGUCUGCAACUCGACUCCAUGAAGUCGGAAUCGCUAGUAAUCGUGGAUCAGAAUGCCACGGUGAAUACGUUCCCGGGCCUUGUACACACCGCCCGUCACACCAUGGGAGUGGGUUGCAAAAGAAGUAGGUAGCUUAACCUUCGGGAGGGCGCUUACCACUUUGUGAUUCAUGACUGGGGUGAAGUCGUAACAAGGUAACCGUAGGGGAACCUGCGGUUG
rnacentral:rRNA from 1 species